rnacentral:rRNA from 1 species
UACUGUGAAGGAAAGGUGAAAAGGACCCCGGGAGGGGAGUGAAAGAGAACCUGAAACCCUGUGUUUACAAGCUGUGGAAGUGCCUUAUGUGCACAACCGCGUACUUUUUGUAGAACGGUCCGGCGAGUUACGUUUACUGGCAAGGUUAAGUACUAUAGGUACGGAGCCGAAGGGAAACCAAGUCUUAAGAGGGCGCAGAGUCAGUAAGAGUAGACCCGAAACCGGGUGAUCUACCCAUGUCCAGGCUGAAGCUGCCGUAAGAGGUAGUGGAGGGCCGAACGCACAUCCGUUGAAAAGGGUGGCGAUGAGGUGUGGGUAGGGGAGAAAUUCCAAUCGAACCCGGAGAUAGCUGGUUCUCCUCGAAAUAGCUUUAGGGCUAGCCUCGAUGGAGUCUUACGGAGGUAGAGCACUGAAUUUCUAAGGGGGCGUCAAAGCUUACCAAGGGAUAUCAAACUCCGAAUGCCGUAAAGAUGCUCAUCGGGAGUCAGACUGCACGAGAUAAGUUGGGCAGUCAAAAGGGAAAGAGCCCAGACCUGCUGCUAAGGUCCCAAAGUACGUGUUAAGUGGAAAAGGAUGUGGGAUUUCGAAGACAACUAGGAUGUUGGCUCAGAAGCAGCCACACAUUCAAAGAGUGCGUAAUAGCUCACUAGUCGAGAGGUCCUGCGCCGAAAAUGUCCGGGGCUGAAACACGACACCGAAGCACAGGAUACCGUAUGGUAUGGUAGAGGAGCAUUGCUGGCGCAACGAAGCAGUACCGGAAGGAGCUGUGGAGUGCCAGGAAGAGAGAAUGCCGGAAUGAGUAGCGAGAGAGAGGUGGGAAUCCUCUCGGCCGAAUAUCCAAGGUUUCCAGGGUAAAGCUGAUCUGCCCUGGGUAAGUCGGGGCCUAAGGAGAGGCAGAAAUGCGUAUCCGAUGGACAGCAGGUUGAGAUUCCUGCACUAUCUUAAAACAGAACUGUGGGGACAUUUGUGGAAAGCACAGGCGCGGAACGGAAAGCCGCGUGCAAGCGAAGGAGGAGUCACAUAGGAAAAACCGUGUGGCAAUCCAAAGGCGUGAUGCGGACCGAACUAAAGUAGGGAAGUGUGUGAGCCAUGAAUCAAGAAAAGCCGCUAUUGUUUUUAAGAUACCCGUACCGUAAACCGACACAGGUGGAUGAGGAGAGAAUCCUAAGGCCGGCGGAAGAAGCAUUGUUAAGGAACUCGGCAAAAUGACCCCGUAACUUCGGGAGAAGGGGUGCCAACGAGAGUUGGCCGCAGAGAAUAGGCUCAAGCAACUGUUUAGCAAAAACACAGGUCUAUGCAAAACCGUAAGGUGAGGUAUAUGGGCUGACGCCUGCCCGGUGCUGGAAGGUUAAGAGGAGAGGUUAGCGCAAGCGAAGCUUUGAAUUUAAGCCCCAGUAAACGGCGGCCGUAACUAUAACGGUCCUAAGGUAGCGAAAUUCCUUGUC